ACGUAGGGUGCAAGCGUUAAUCGGAAUUACUGGGCGUAAAGCGCGCGCAGGCGGUUUUGUAAGACAGACGUUAAAGCCCCGGGCUCAACCCGGGAACUGCGUUGGAAACUGCAAAGCUUGAGUACAGUAGAGGUAGGCGGAAUUCCAAGUGUAGCAGUGAAAUGCGUAGAGAUGGGGAGGAACACCAGUGGCGAAGGCGGCCAACUGGGCCGAAACUGACGCUGAGGCGCGAAAGCGUGGGUAGCAAACAG
rnacentral:rRNA from 1 species